CUAAACUGGGAAAUUAGGAAUCUCGCUGAUUCCAACGCUUUUACUGGUAAUGUCAUGUCAGCCGGGUGAAAGACCUGCAAAAGAAGAGCAGGAAAAUGAGGAGAGCUGGAUGGACCACAAUAUUAGCUCUCCUAAUUUUCUGAUGCUGCUGCCACAUCUUGCACAACGCGGUCUGGACCAGCCAACUAGUUAAGGGGUGCAAGGUAAUCCACGUACGUGCCAUGUCGCACAACAUAUGUAAAGAUAGGAAUAUUCCCAUUCCUAUUGAUACAGCACAACCAGAUUUUGAAGAACAGCAGCACGACAACUUGCAAGAAGUGUCACUACUUCCAACUAGUUAACGAAAUUCAAGUUGCCUGUAUUGAGAUGAAUUCUGCAACUUACAUUUUGACAAUCCUGCCUGAAGCAUAGACCUCCUACCCCUCAGCAGACUUGGCCAGUCCCAUGCCAAGCUGCUUCCUGUGCCUGUGGAGCUUCUCAACAGAAUCUGGGUUGCCUGUAUUGAGCAAUCCUGCCUGAAGCCUGCACCUCCUGUUCCCUAUGAACACUUGGCUAGUCACGUGCUAAAGUAGCUGCCUCUUGAGCAAGGGCAUUAAGUGGCUGAGACUAUCUUAUCUGCACAGCCACUUCUGCCUCUUCAUCUUUCCUUGUUGGAGUGGACAGAAUGGGUUGAGGCUCUUCUACAAGGAAGAUUGUCCCUCGGCAUUUUGCUCAUCA
rnacentral:lncRNA from 1 species